AACGUAGGAGACAAACGUUAUCCGGAGUUACUGGGCGUAAAGGGCGUGUAGGCGGUUAGUUAAGUCUGGCGUGAAAGCUCUCGGCUAAACCGGGAGAGGUCGUUGGAUACUGGCAAACUUGAGGACGGUAGAGGCGUGUGGAAUUCCGGGUGUAGUGGUGAAAUGCGUAGAGAUCCGGAGGAACACCAGUGGCGAAGGCGCUCUGCUGGACCAUAACUGACACUCAGGGACGAAAGCUAGGGGAGCGAAAGGG
rnacentral:rRNA from 1 species